rnacentral:rRNA from 1 species
AACAAACGCUGGCGGCGUGUCUUAAGCAUGCAAGUCGAGCGGCAGGCGCAGCAAUGCGCUGAGAGCGGCGGACUGGUGAGUAACGCGUGGGUAAUCUACCUUUGGCAUGGGGAUAGCCACUAGAAAUAGUGGGUAAUACCGAAUACGUUCCCUGGGGGGAGGUUUCAGGGAAGAAAGGGUGCUACGGCACCGGCCGGAGAUGAGCUCGCGUCCCAUUAGCUCGUUGGUGAGGUAACGGCCCACCAAGGCGAUGAUGGGUAGCCGGCCUGAGAGGGUGUACGGCCACACUGGGACUGAGAUACGGCCCAGACUCCUACGGGAGGCAGCAGCUAAGAAUAUUCCGCAAUGGACGAAAGUCUGACGGAGCGACGCCGCGUGGAUGAUGAAGGCCGAAAGGUUGUAAAGUCCUUUUGCUGGGGAAGAAUAAGUGUGGGAGGGAAUGCCCGCAUGAUGACAUGAACCGGCGAAUAAGCCCCGGCCAACUACGUGCCAGCAGCCGCGGUAACACGUAGGGGGCGAGCGUUGUUCGGAAUUACUGGGCGUAAAGGGCAUGUAGGCGGUCUGGUAAGCCUGGCGUGAAAGGCCACAGCUCAACUGUGGGAUUGCGUUGGGAACUGCUGGGCUUGAGUUAUGGAGAGGGAGCUAGAAUUCCUGGUGUAGGGGUGAAAUCUGUAGAUAUCAGGAAGAAUACCGAUGGCGAAGGCAAGCUCCUGGCCGAUGACUGACGCUGAGGUGCGAAAGUGUGGGGAUCAAACA